rnacentral:rRNA from 1 species
UAAGACGAACCGUGCGAACGUUAUUCGGAAUCACUGGGCUUAAAGGGCGCGUAGGCGGGCUGUCAAGUCAGAGGUGAAAUCCUGCGGCUCAACCGCAGAAGUGCCCCUGAUACUGACGGCCUCGAGGGAGGUAGGGGCGUGUGGAACUUCCGGUGGAGCGGUGAAAUGCGUAGAUAUCGGAAGGAACGCCGGUGGCGAAAGCGACACGCUGGCCCUCUUCUGACGCUGAGGCGCGAAAGCCAGGGGAGCAAACGGGAUUAGAUACCCCGGUAGUCCUGGCCCUAAACGUUGGGUACUAGGUAGUGGACUUAACAUGGGUUCACUGCCGGAGCAAAAGUAUUAAGUACCCCGCCUGGGGAGUAUGGUCGCAAGGCUG